AUGUGGAGAGUAUCGGAAGUUGGAGCUUUCGUAGUUGCGGCUACAGAGAUACAAUUAUCAGCGGUUGCGCCUGACGUCAACGCGGAACUGAUUAUCUUUGGUGGAAACGGCUGCUGACAUCUCCCAAGCAGCACAUUUUGAAAAGCCGUCAGAAAGAAAGUCCAGAAGCACAUCAGAAACUCGAUUUUUCUGCCUGUUGAGCUUUUUUUCGCGUUUGAGAUACUUGGACUUCGGUAUUUGUAGAUACAAAUCGACCAAGGCACAUUCUUUAUUCGAGGAAUAUGUAUGUAUUUAUGUAUUUUACGAGCCGAUAAGACAGCGACAAAUUGUAGAACUGCUGAAAAAAAUUGUUUUGCUGUUAGGCGCUUACUACUAAUCUUAUAAAAUAAUUUAUUUUAACUGACAUCGUAACUGUGAUAAAACAUUAUGUUGAAGGAGUGUUACAUACUAAUACCGCGCAAAAGUACUUCCUAUUUAUACCACAUUUUGCAUGCACCUUAUCUCAUUCCAUGUUCUAGAAGUACAUUAAUAUUUUACAAAUGAACUAUUGUCAAACAUUAAAAAAAAACAUUCAGAUAAAUAUAAUGUGAUGCACUAGAGAAAUAUAGUUAUUGCGACACAUGUUCCUCAACUUCUCUGAAAAAUUUUUCGGAUGAGAAUCUACUUUUACAGGAAAAAGAAUGUCCUAUUUUUCGUAUGAAACUUAUCAACUGAAUUUUUCUGUAAUAUUCUCAAAAUUUUACUGUGUUUUUUCAUUCAUAUUUGUGUCCUGAGACUAACAAGGAGAGUAUUAGACAAUCGAAUCUGAUGAACAUAUUUUCAGCCAAAAGAAUGUUCCUGGAAUUUUCAGUGAAAUCUGUGAUCCGAGGGUCAAUACUCUUGUAGGCACGACACUUUUUUACACCAGUUCUGUUAUCCGGUGAAGGGUAGCUAAAAUCUACCUAAUUUUUGAUGCAGGACCCUUUUCUUAACUAUCGGCACCCAAAUGUUUCGACUUUUCUGUGGGCAGGAGUAUCGUGUGCAAUAUUGCCGUGUGCAUUGAAGUUUCUGUGUGCAAACGUACUGUACACUAUUGCCAAAAUUAUUGUGUGCAAACAGGCCAUGCUAACAGGCCGUGUAGGAAUGGUUUACAAAAGUGCCUUGGGCUGAUAGACUGUGUCCAAAUGAUACUCACACAAAAUUGAAUGUUCCGCGUUUAGAAAAAUAUGUCUUCUCCAACGUGUAGCAUUACUUGACAACUAGUUACAAAGUAGAUAUGCAAGUAUGAAUAUGCAUAGAGUUGUAGAAAGGCCGUAUUACAUUGAUGUGUAUUAUUAUUUUAUUACUCUAAUUAACAUAUUACUUAAUACUACGUCUAUACCAAUCAUUUACAUAAUUGGUCAGUGACAAUAACGCGCUAUAUACUGAAUUUCUUCAUAACUAAAUCCUAUGAGGUAAUCCUUUUAUGUUAUGCACAAUAUAUUUAACACAAUGCAAAUUGAUAUUUGAUUAAUAUAUUUAUAAUUUAUAAACAUUCACCUUUGGCAAUUAGGAUGUGCCGUAUG
rnacentral:lncRNA from 1 species